CGGGACGUCGCUCAACGGCAGAGCACCCGCCUGAUAAGCGGGAGAUGGUGGUUCGACACCACCCGUCCCGA
rnacentral:tRNA from 1 species